rnacentral:rRNA from 1 species
UUUGUCCUACGGGACGCAGCAGUGGGGUAUAUUGCACAAUGGGGGAAACCCUGAUGCAGCGACGCCGCGUGAGCGAUGAAGUAUUUCGGUAUGUAAAGCUCUAUCAGCAGGGAAGAAAAUGACGGUACCUGACUAAGAAGCCCCGGCUAACUACGUGCCAGCAGCCGCGGUAAUACGUAGGGGGCAAGCGUUAUCCGGAUUUACUGGGUGUAAAGGGAGCGUAGACGGCAGUGCAAGUCUGAAGUGAAAGGCAAGGGCUCAACCUUUGGACUGCUUUGGAAACUGUGCUGCUAGAGUGUCGGAGG